ACGCUGGCGGCAGGCCUAACACAUGCAAGUCGAGCGGUAGCAUAGGAGAGCUUGCUCUCUGGGUGACGAGCGGCGGACGGGUGAGUAAUGUCUGGGAAACUGCCUGAUGGAGGGGGAUAACUACUGGAAACGGUAGCUAGUACCGCAUGACCUCGCAAGAGCAAAGUGGGGGACCUUCGGGCCUCACGCCAUCGGAUGUGCCCAGAUGGGAUUAGCUAGUAGGUGGGGUAAUGGCUCACCUAGGCGACGAUCCCUAGCUGGUCUGAGAGGAUGACCAGCCACACUGGAACUGAGACACGGUCCAGACUCCUACGGGAGGCAGCAAUGGGGAAUAUUGCACAAUGGGCGCAAGCCUGAUGCAGCCAUGCCGCGUGUGUGAAGAAGGCCUUAGGGUUGUAAAGCACUUUCAGCGAGGAGGAAGGCGCUGUAGUUAAUAGCUGCAGCGAUUGACGUUACUCGCAGAAGAAGCACCGGCUAACUCCGUGCCAGCAGCCGCGGUAAUACGGAGGGUGCAAGCGUUAAUCGGAAUUACUGGGCGUAAAGCGCACGCAGGCGGUUUGUUAAGUCAGAUGUGAAAUCCCCGAGCUUAACUUGGGAACUGCAUUUGAAACUGGCAAGCUAGAGUCUUGUAGAGGGGGGUAGAAUUCCAGGUGUAGCGGUGAAAUGCGUGGAGAUCUGGAGGAAUACCGGUGGCGAAGGCGGCCCCUGGACAAAGACUGACGCUCAGGUGCGAAAGCGUGGGGAGCAAACAG
rnacentral:rRNA from 1 species